rnacentral:rRNA from 1 species
CCUACGGGAGGCAGCAGUGGGGAAUAUUGGGCAAUGGGCGCAAGCCUGACCCAGCAACGCCGCGUGAAGGAAGAAGGCUUUCGGGUUGUAAACUUCUUUUGUCAGGGACGAAGCAAGUGACGGUAACUGACGAAUAAGCCACGGCUAACUACGGGCCAGCAGCCGCGGUACUACGUAGGUGGCAAGCGUUAUACGGAUUUACUGGGUGUAAAGGGCGUGUAGGCGGGUCUGAAAGUCAGAUGUGACAACCACGGGCUCAACCUGUGGCCUUCAUUUGAAACUGUAGUUCUUGAGUACUGGAGAGGCAGGCGUAAUUCCUAGUGUAGCGGUGAAAUGCGUAGAUAUUAGGAGGAACACCAGUGGCGAAGGCGGUCUGCUGGACUGCAACUGACGCUGAGGCGCGAAAGCGUGGGGAGCAAACAGGAUUAGCUACCCCAGUAGUC